rnacentral:snoRNA from 1 species
CCCCUCCCAGGGUCGCACCUGGAGAGUUUCCAGUACUUAUCCAGUCUCGACUAUGGGAGGGAGAGUCAAGCAGAGGCCUACUCAUUCCAUUCCUAGCUUGGCCAGUGGCUAGCCAGCGGAAGGCCAUCUGCUACAAGU